UACGAAGGGGGCUAGCGUUGUUCGGAUUUACUGGGCGUAAAGCGCACGUAGGCGGACUAUUAAGUCAGGGGUGAAAUCCCGGGGCUCAACCCCGGAACUGCCUUUGAUACUGGUAGUCUUGAGUUCGAGAGAGGUGAGUGGAAUUCCGAGUGUAGAGGUGAAAUUCGUAGAUAUUCGGAGGAACACCAGUGGCGAAGGCGGCUCACUGGCUCGAUACUGACGCUGAGGCGCGAAAGCGUGGGGAGCAAACAGG
rnacentral:rRNA from 1 species